UUGACAAUAAAAGUAUGCAUGCGUGUGUUCUUCAAAUAAAUGAAUCGGACCCGACGACAGAGUGACGUUUGUGAAGAUAGAUGAAGGUGCCCCCGUUAUACAUUUAUCGGUAACCCACUUAUCGUGUUUUUGGUGAAAUAUAAUACAGUUUUUCGGUUUUCAUGUAA